rnacentral:piRNA from 1 species
UGAACAAGACUGCCAAUGGAGACUGCC